rnacentral:rRNA from 1 species
AUCGCNGCCUACCAUGCAAGUCGAGGGGCAACGGGGGUGAGCUUGCUCACCUGCCGGCGACCGGCNNACGGGUGCGCAACGCGUAUGGAACCUGCCUUUUACAGGGGAAUAGCCCAGGGAAACUUGGAUUAAUGCCCCAUGGCGCCACUUCGCGGAAUCGCGAUAUGGCUAAAGCCCUCGGGCGGUAGAAGAUGGCCAUGCGUCCCAUUAGCUAGUUGGUGCGGUAACGGCGCACCAAGGCCGCGAUGGGUAGGGGCCCUGAGAGGGGGAUCCCCCACACUGGUACUGAGACACGGACCAGACUCCUACGGGAGGCAGCAGUGAGGAAUAUUGGACAAUGGGCGGGAGCCUGAUCCAGCCAUGCCGCGUGCAGGAAGACGGUCCUAUGGAUUGUAAACUGCUUUUGUACGGGAAGAACAAGGGGCACGUGUGCCCCUCUGACGGUACCGUAAGAAUAAGGAUCGGCUAACUCCGUGCCAGCAGCCGCGGUAAUACGGAGGAUCCGAGCGUUAUCCGGAAUCAUUGGGUUUAAAGGGUCCGUAGGCGGGCCGUUAAGUCAGGGGUGAAAGUCUGCGGCUCAACCGUAGGACUGCCCUUGAUACUGGCGGCCUUGAGUUAUGGUGAAGUGGCUAGAAUAUGUGGUGUAGCGGUGAAAUGCAUAGAUAUCACAUGGAAUACCGAUUGCGAAGGCAGGCCACUAACCAUAUACUGACGCUGAUGGACGAAAGCGUGGGGAGCGAACAGGAUUAGAUACCCUGGUAGUCCACGCCGUAAACGAUGGAUACUAGCUGUCCGGUACCUUGAGUACUGGGCGGCCAAGCGAAAGUGAUAAGUAUCCCACCUGGGGAGUACGUCCGCAAGGAUGAAACUCAAAGGAAUUGACGGGGGCCCGCACAAGCGGUGGANCAUGUGGUUUAAUUCGAUGAUACGCGAGGAACCUUACCAGGGCUUAAAUGUAGUACGACAGGUUNAAAGAUAGACUUUCCUUCNGGCAUAUUGCAAGGUGCUGCAUGGUUGUCNUCANCU